rnacentral:rRNA from 1 species
CCUACGGGCGGCUGCAGUGGGGAAUAUUGCACAAUGGGCGCAAGCCUGAUGCAGCCAUGCCGCGUGUGUGAAGAAGGCCUUCGGGUUGUAAAGCACUUUCAGCGGGGAGGAAGGCGGUGAGGUUAAUAACCUCAUCGAUUGACGUUACCCGCGGAAGAAGCACCGGCUAACUCCGUGCCAGCAGCCGCGGUAAUACGGAGGGUGCAAGCGUUAAUCGGAAUUACUGGGCGUAAAGCGCACGCAGGCGGUCUGUCAAGUCGGAUGUGAAAUCCCCGGGCUCAACCUGGGAACUGCAUUCGAAACUGGCAGGCUAGAGUCUUGUAGAGGGGGGUAGAAUUCCAGGUGUAGCGGUGAAAUGCGUAGAGAUCUGGAGGAAUACCGGUGGCGAAGGCGGCCCCCUGGACAAAGACUGACGCUCAGGUGCGAAAGCGUGGGGAGCAAACAGGAUUAGAUACCCGAGUAGUC